GACGAACGCUGGCGGCGUGCCUAACACAUGCAAGUCAACUUGAAGGAAGGAGCAAUCUGACCUGAUGGUGGCGCAAGGGUGCGUAACGCGUAAGUAACUUGCCCAAGGUAAGGAAUAACGUCGAGAAUCGGCGCUAAUACCUCAUAAUGCAGCGGAUCCGCAUGGAUAUGUUGUUAAAGGUUUACCGCCUUGGGAUAGGCUUGCGUCUGAUUAGCUAGUUGGUGUGGUAAUGGCACACCAAGGCUACGAUCAGUAACUGGUCUGAGAGGGAUGAUCAGUCACACUGGAACUGAGACACGGUCCAGACUCCUACGGGAGCAGCAGUGAGGAAUAUUGGGCAAUGCACG
rnacentral:rRNA from 1 species